rnacentral:rRNA from 1 species
AUUGAGCGCUGGCGGCAGGCCUAACACAUGCAAGUCGAGCGGAUGAAGGGAGCUUGCUCCUGGAUUCAGCGGCGGACGGGUGAGUAAUGCCUAGGAAUCUGCCUGGUAGUGGGGGAUAACGUCCGGACACGGGCGCUAAUACCGCAUACGUCCUGAGGGAGAAAGUGGGGGAUCUUCGGACCUCACGCUAUCAGAUGAGCCUAGGUCGGAUUAGCUAGUUGGUGGGGUAAAGGCCUACCAAGGCGACGAUCCGUAACUGGUCUGAGAGGAUGAUCAGUCACACUGGAACUGAGACACGGUCCAGACUCCUACGGGAGGCAGCAGUGGGGAAUAUUGGACAAUGGGCGAAAGCCUGAUCCAGCCAUGCCGCGUGUGUGAAGAAGGUCUUCGGAUUGUAAAGCACUUUAAGUUGGGAGGAAGGGCAGUAAGUUAAUACCUUGCUGUUUUGACGUUACCAACAGAAUAAGCACCGGCUAACUUCGUG